rnacentral:lncRNA from 1 species
UAUCGACUCUUGAAUCUCUUCAAGUUCGAUUUGCCUCCCACUGUCUCCUUGGCUUAUGAGUUCUCGCUCUCGGAAAACUCCUCUCCUCGCAACGAAGACAACAUUGUCCUUCGGUCUAUAGAAGAGAUAUCCAAAGGAUGUCUGCGGGUAGCCGAUGAAAAUACAUCGCUCACUUCGAGGUUCAAGCUUGUCGUGAGUAUCUCGUCUUACGAAAGCCUCGCAACCCCAAACCUUGAUAUGUGCCAACGAGGGAGCUUUCCCUGUCCACAUCUCGUGAGGUGUUUUGGCAACCUUCUUAGUAGGGACUCGGUUAAGGAUAUGGGCGGCAGUCUCUAAGGCAUACCCCCAAAAAGAGAUUGGUAGUGAAGCACGACUCAUCAUAGAGCGAACCAUAUCCAAUAAGGUUCGAUUACGCCUUUCUGCCACACCAUUCAACUGCGGUGUCCUAGGAGGCGUCAAUUGUGAAACUAUUCCACACUCCUUGAGAUAAUCGUGGAAUUCAAGACUUAGGUACUCUCCUCCUCGAUCGGAUCGAAGCAUCUUGAUUUUCCUGCCCAAUUGAUUCUCCACUUCAUUCUUGAACUCUUUGAACUUUUCAAAGGUGUCUGACUUUUGCUUGAUUAAGUAGAUAUACCCAUAUCUACUAUAGUCAUCGGUAAAAGUCACAUAGAAGCGGUUCCCAUCCUUCGUGGUUGAUCUAAACGGUCCACAUACAUCGGUAUGUAUUAGGUCCAAUAGACCCUCGCCCCUUUCACAUGUACUCGUGAAGGGUGACUUAGUCAUCUUUCCAAGCAAACAAGACUCGCAUGUGUCAUCUUCCCUAAGGUCGAAUGACUCCAACACUCCAUCCUUUUGGAGUUGGGCUAUGCGUUUCUUGUUGACAUGUCCAAGACGACAAUGCCACAAGGAUGCUUUAUCCAUACUAGUGGAAGAAUCAAUAUUCAAAACAUCAUUUCCUAAGUUAUCAACAAUCAUAACGGUUUCAUAUAUUCCAUUACAUGGUAUAGCUUCAAAGUAAAAGACACCAUUUAGAUAAGCCAAAAUAGAACCAUUCUCAUUAUUAAAAGAAAAUCUAAAUCCUUGUCUAUAUAAACCAUGAAAUGAAAUGAUGUUUCUUGCCAUUUCUGGCGAAUAGCAACAAUUGUUCAAAUCUAAAACUAAACUAUUCCUAAGCACUAAGGAAUACACUCCAAUCUUGGUCACAGGCGACGAUCUUCUGUUCCCCAUGAUUAGAUUGAUCCUUCCUUGCUCCACAUCCCUACUUCUUCUUAGUCCCUGCACAUUAGAACAAAUGUGAUAACCACAACCGGUAUCAAGAACCCAAGAAAUAGCAUGAUUAGAAUCGUUAGAUUUGAUUGUAUAUAUACCUGCGAAAGAUGGCUUGAUCUUUCCUUCUUUGAUUGCUUGCAGGUAAUCCGGGCAGCUUCUCUUCCAAUGUCCUAUCUUGUGGCAGUGGUGGCACUCUGCCUCCUUCGGGUUAGAGCAGGGCUUAGCGGGAUCAACUUUGGUCCCACUAGAAGAGGCACCAUCUCGGGCUUUCACCUUGCGAUAGUUCUUCGAUGAAGCUUUCCUCUUCUUUCCCUUCCCUUGUCCAAUAGCCAAGACAGGAGCAGCGGGCGGAUUGGGAGUAGGUGCAACAGACUUGUCUUUGAAGUUGCUCUCAGCAACCCUCAAGAGACCUUGGAGCUUGCUUAGGGUGACCUCUUCUUUGUUCAUGUGGUAGGUCAUCCUAAAUUGAUUGUACAUCGGAGGCAAAGAGUGAAGCACCAUGUCGAUCGCCAAAUCCUCACCGAAGUCAACAUUUAACUUGCGAAGGCGGUCGACAUACCUUUGCAUCUUUUGCAAGUGCACGGUAAGAGAUUCUCCAUGACCCAUCUUCGCGGAAAUCAUGUUAGUGAAAAUCUCGUACCUCUCUUGUCUCGCGUUUUGGUGGUACCUCUCCAAUAAGUCUUGGUGCAUCUCGUACGGGUACAUGUCCUCGUAGGACUUUUGGAAUUCGGAGUUCAUGGUGGCGAUCAUGAUGCAAUGUACCUUCGUUGCAUCUCGCUCAUGAGUCUCAAAAGCGGUGAUUUCGGCCGGAGUAGCGAUUUCGGGGUUGAUUUUCUCGAGCUUCUCAUCGAGGACAUACUCCUUAUCCUCAUAGCGAGCAAUGGUGCGAAUGUAUCUUAUCCAUUCGCUAAAGUUCGUUCCAUCGAAGGUGACCUUUUGGCAAAGGCUCAUCAACGUGAAAGAACUAGCAGCAGCGUUGUUUGCGUUCGACAUCUACAAUUAGAAAAGGACAAAGAUAGAUUAGAAUAAGAAUCCCUAAUUAUCACCCAAUAAGAAAAUUAGGGCUAGGAUCCAACAAUAACAUUUACAUACUAGAAAAGGGAUGCCGUAAUCUAACAUGCAAAUAAAUUGAAGGUAAGUGAAUGACGAUUCACUAAUUCUCCAUCACAAAACUUAAACUAUUAGUCCUAAGUGUUUUUGAGAAUUCCUAGGUUCGGAUGAGAUUCAUUGAAACUAUUCAAUGGCAUGUUUAAAUCUCGAUAUGCCCCUCUUGUUUGUGACUGGGAUGCCGAGGAUCACAAAGCGGGUGUGAAUUACCAUGCAAAUUCACAUGGUGCCUUCAUUGUAACGAUCACCUAUUCGAUGUGCCGGUAAACCACACACGCUCCAUCGAACUAUGAUAAACAAUGAAUCACCCUUUGCCACCUUCGCUUAGAACCAAUUAGUGUGCCGGUAAACCACACACGCUCCACUAACAUCUUAGCAAGGUGCAAAGUGUAAUUUCAUGGGAUUGCAUCAAUUCACUUUUCCUAAAGUAACUAGGAUUGGGAAAUUUUAAAAUAUGUGUAGUUACUUUGUAUUUCUUAUUAUACUUUUAAUGAGAGGAUGAGGUUGCCCUAUCCUACCCGUUCGGCUAACGACCCUCCACCAAUCAAGCAAGCGGUGGGUGUGAGUGUACACCCAUUAAGCGCCAUUUUAUAGGCCGCAACCUUAUACCCACCUUAUAGAUCGGCUUCGUGAAUGAGGCCUACUAACGGUAAGACUAGCAUUUAGUUAUACAUAUAUAUAUUAUUCUAGUAAUAUCAUAUUAGUAUAGGGUUGUAUUUUAAAACUUUUAAAAUCUAGGGUUUGAAAUUUAAGUUGUCUAAAUUAAAACUUUUAAUCACAAAAGUAAAUUUCAAAACAUGAGGGUAGGUUUUAAACAUUUAAAACAUGGAGGAUCAAAUAACAAAUAAUUCCAAUUAACAAUUAAUAUCCUAAUUAUCUAUAUUUGAUUUAUUCAAGAUUUCUUUUUAAGAUAAUUACCAAAAUAAUUAAAAUAAUUAAUUAAUUAUCAUAUAAGGAAAUUAAAUAUUUAAUUAGUUGAUAAUUACCUUUAACUAGAUCAAGAUAAUAGUUAUAUUUAUCAGAAAAACGAAUUAAUGUUGAUCUAAUUAGUUUAUGGUAAGUUAAGAUAAGAUAAACACAAAGAAAUCCCGAAUCUGGCCAUUCCUGACGCCUGGACUCGCCGAGUGCACAAAUGGACUCGCCGAGUCAGGCCUACUCGCCGAGUCCACUUUGGGACUCGCCGAGUCCAUGACUCAGAAACCAAAAAAUCGAAUUUUGCAGGUUUGUUUCAGUUAAUCAAGCAACAAUUUAAAGAAAACCAAGCUAGGCUCUGAUACCACUGAUGGGUUUUAGCCAUAAGAACUUUCCUAUGUGCGCAUGCAAAACCCUAAUGCUUGGAUCUAGGCUUUCUAAUAAACAUGCAUUGAAUCCAAGUCUUCUAAUGACUAAUUAGGUUAAAUAACAACAUUGAAACAGAUCUAGAAUCAUACCUUUGAGUUCCUUGUUGAUCUUGAGGUCUUGGAGCUUCUAGAGUCACAAGUGUCACUCCUCUAAUGGCUUACAAACACCAAUAGCAAUAAGAAUGAUUUAGGAGAGAGGAGAGGGGAGGAAUUCGACCAGAGUUCUCUUGCUUUUUCAGAAGUGUCGAAUUCCCUAUGCCAUGGGGUCUAUUUAUACUUGUAGACUCCUUAAGGAUUACAGAUAAGUCCCUAUCAGAUAAUCUUCUCUUAAGGCUAUCCAAAUCCAUUCCUAGAUAACUCUAAUGGACGAUUUUAGCUAUCCUAAUCCUCUUAGAAUUCGUCCAUAGCAUAUCCAAAUGGAUUUACAGUCUAAAGCUUAACUAUCAAACAAUUGACAGUUUAUACCCCUUUAUUUAAUUAAUCUCUUUAAGUCACCAAAUUAAUUCUAAUUAAUUCUAUGACUUAUAUUAAUCAAAUAACAAAUAUAUUAUUCAUUAUAUUAUUCUCAUAAUAUAUUAAUAAUAUUUACUCUCUCUUAAUAAAUCAUCCUAUCAAGUUGCUAUGGUGAAGGCAACCCAAAAGGACCAUGCACAACCGGAUCAAAUACUUGCCUAAUAUAGUUACAGCCUUAGACACUAUUCCAACAGUCUCCCACUUGGAUAAGUCUAGUAACUAUACAAGUACAAUUCGGUUUGCAAUCGUAGCUCUCAAAGACGCUGUCAACUCUGAUCUAAUCAAUCUUGUCCUUUAGAUAAGGGAACGUACAGUCCUCUGUUAGAUAUCAUGCUGACAAUCCUAUGGAAUGGUUAGUCAAGCAUUUAGGUUUCUCGAUCUCUGAUUUAUUUGACAUAGAACUUAAUCGAACACAUCAAUUCAGUUCUGACCGGGCCCGGCACAUAAGUCAAAUCAAAUCAUCGAGCGGCCGAGAUAUCGCUUUUACCUUCUUAGAUAAAAGUUACAGAUAAACUUCGACUUAUAUGCAUUUACUUAUUCAUUUACCAACUAUACACAACAAUACGUUUUAUAACACCAAGUUACUGAUGCGUUUUCGUAUUAUCAAUGUACAAUCAAUUAACAAAUAAUAAACCAUAUAUCUAGGUUUUAAGACUAUAUGAUAUUAUCGUCUUGCGAUCACCUUUUAUAUCGUAUUCCAUAAGGUGAUUCCAGCAAGCGCGGGUUUAUUCCAAUGCUCAAAACUAGUUCAUAAGCACUCAUGAACGUUGCAGCAAUCCUUUGCUAUGUCUAACACCAUUUAGACAUUCUACACACCAAUUCAUGACAAUCUUCAUUCAUAUCUACUCCCAACAUAUGAACGAUUGUGGACCAUUUGAACAAUUCGAUUAUUCCUAAUAAACUCAAUUAUUCUGGAAGUCAAAACAUGCAAAGUGAAACAAUAGCUAAACAAUUAACAUAAGAUAGUAACAUUACUCAUAAAUAAAACUCCUUUAUUUAAUCAUCAAAUGUUAAUUACAUUUAUCUAUUACACGUUUCUAAUACUAUCUAAUCUAUGCUAAUAUCAUCCUUCAGCCCAAUACUCCUAGCAUGCUGCAAGUGCUUAACCCUACUCAGUCCCUUCGUAAGCGGAUCUGCUGGGUUAUCUUCUGAUGAUAUCCUCUUCACUACGAGUUGUCCUUCUUCUACACGAUGUCUAAUGAAGUGAUACUUUCUGUCGAUAUGUCUUGAUCUACCAUGAUCCCUCGGUUCCUUGGUUAAGGCAACCGCACCUUCGUUAUCACAGAAAAUCUCCAUUGGCUCCUUUAUGGCAGGUACAACUCCAAGAUCACCGAUGAAGUUCUUUAGCCAUAUUGCCUCCUUCGACGCUUCGCUCGCUGCAAUGUACUCUGAUUCGCACGUUGAAUCAGCUACGGUUUCCUGCUUGGAACUCUUCCAUGUCACUGCUCCUCCAUUUAGGGUAAAGACCCAGCCCGACUGCGAACGGUAGUUGUCCCUGUCGGUCUGAAAACUGGCGUCACUAUACCCUCGCACCUUCAAGUCAUCACUCCCUCCGAGGACUAAGAACCAUUCCUUCGUCCUCCGAAGGUACUUAAGGAUAUUCUUCACCGCAAUCCAAUGUGCUUUGCCAGGAUUCCCUUGAUAUCUGCUAACCAUGCUCAAAGCGAAGGCUACAUCAGGGCGAGUACAAGUCAUAGCGUACAUGAUUGAGCCAACUGCGGAAGCGUAUGGUACUCGGCUCAUUUCUGCUAUCUCAGCUUCGGUACUCGGACUUUGAGUCUUACUCAAUUUGGCAUUACUUUGUAUCGGUAGUUCUCCCUUCUUUGAGUUUUCCAUACUAAAACGUUUUAGUACCUUCUCUAAGUAAGUAUUCUGACUAAGUCCAAUUAGUCUCUUACUUCUUUCUCUUACUAUCCUUAUUCCCAAAAUGUAAGAAGCCUCUCCGAGGUCCUUCAUAGCGAAGCACUUCCCGAGCCAGGACUUAACCUCCUGCAGAGUCGGGAUGUCGUUUCCUAUGAGUAAUAUGUCAUCGACAUAUAGAACGAGGAAGCUUACUAUACUCCCACUGGCUUUGACAUAUACACAAGAUUCGUCUUCGCUUCGUACAAAUCCAAACUCUUUGACUUUCUCAUCGAAGCAAAGAUUCCAUCUGCGAGACGCUUGCUUAAGUCCAUAAAUGGACUUCUCAAGCUUACACACUCUAUUCGGAUGCUUCGGAUCCACAAACCCCUCUGGCUGAGCCAUGUAAACAUCCUCAGCCAACUUUCCGUUAAGGAAAGCGGUCUUGACAUCCAUUUGCCAAAUCUCAUAAUCAUGAAAUGCGGCAAUUGCUAGCAUCACUCUAAUAGAUUUAAUCUUCGCAACUGGUGAGAAGGUCUCAUCAUAGUCAACUCCGGGAGUUUGAGUAAAGCCCUUCGCAACCAAUCGCGCUUUAUAUGUGUGUACGUUUCCAUCCACGUCGGUCUUCUUCUUGAAGAUCCAUUUGCACCCAACGGUCUUACGUCCGGGCACAUAAUCAACCAAAUUCCAAACUUGGUUAUCAUACAUGGAUUGGAUCUCGCUAUCCAUUGCCUCUUUCCAUUUUGCAGACUCCGGGCCUGCCAUGGCUUCCUUAUAGCUAUUAGGUUCAUCAAGAUUUAUUAGUGUACCAUCACUAAUAUACGUGUCCCCUUCGGUAGUAAUAUGAAAACCAUAAAACUGGGGUUGAACUCUAACUCUAUCGGAACGUCUAAGAGGUAAGGACUCGUCAAUCGGUUCAACCGGAGUUUCCUCCUCGGGUUGAGUGCCAGCGGUAGAGGUUCCUUCAUCUAUCGACUCUUGAAUCUCUUCAAGCUCGAUUUGCCUCCCACUGUCUCCUUGGCUUAUGAGUUCUCGCUCUCGGAAAACUCCUCUCCUCGCAACGAAGACAACAUUGUCCUUCGGUCUAUAGAAGAGAUAUCCAAAGGAUUUCUGCGGGUAGCCGAUGAAAAUACAUCGCUCACUACGAGGUUCGAGCUUGUCGUGAGUAUCUCGUCUUACGAAAACCUCGCAACCCCAAACCUUGAUAUGUGCCAACGAGGGAGCUUUCCCUGUCCACAUCUCGUGAGGUGUUUUGGCAACCUUCUUUGUAGGGACUCGGUUAAGGAUAUGGGCG